GGGCGGAGGCGCGGGCGCCCGUCUCCCCCCCCACCCCUCCCGGGAGCUUGGGGGUCACUGCUCUGCCGUGCCCGCUCCCCGUCAUGGCCUUCACCUUCGCCGCCUUCUGCUACAUGCUGUCGCUGGUCCUCUGCGCCGCCCUCAUCUUCUUCGCCAUCUGGCAUAUAAUUGCCUUUGAUGAGCUACGGACAGACUUCAAAAGCCCUGUAGAUCAAUGCAACCCAGUCCACGCAAGAGAGCGACUGAGAAAUAUUGAGCGUAUUUGCUUCCUCCUGCGAAAGCUGGUGUUGCCGGAGUACUCUAUCCAUAGCCUUUUCUGCAUAAUGUUUUUAUGUGCCCAAGAAUGGCUCACACUGGGGUUAAAUGUUCCUCUGCUUUUUUAUCACUUCUGGAGGUAUUUUCGUUGCCCAGCAGAUAGUUCAGAACUAGCAUAUGAUCCACCCGCAGUCAUGAAUGCAGAUACCUUGAGUUACUGUCAAAAAGAGGCCUGGUGUAAGCUAGCUUUCUAUCUCCUUUCUUUCUUCUACUAUCUUUACUGCAUGAUCUACACUUUGGUGAGCUCUUAACUGAAAGACCAUCACUGAAGACUGAAAACAACAAAGACUGUGGAGGUACAAGGUGUGUUCCAGUAAAUGGCUUUCAAAACCCAAGCAAAACCAAAAAAAUGCAACAAGGUGGGCUGAGUUACAGAACUAUUCACCUCUUCAGGGAUAAUGCUACUCAGCUAAAUGCAGUCAUCAUAAGCCGUAGCCCCUACUGUCUUCCAGGGAGCAAAGUUUUUUGUUGUUGUUUUUGCUUUUAAUGACUGUUCUGUUCUGAGGAAGCAGAGGGCAAGAUCAUCAUACACAGCAAGAACAGCUACACAAUGCAUUCUGAAAAUGAGCAUUGACGAGUUCAGAUAAGAUGUGUGACCGUUCUUCAGGGAUGUUCUUGUGACAUUAGUCAUACAGGGAUAUUGGAUUUUGGGAAAUUGUUUUCAAGUGUUCUUUUGUUUUUCACCCAUAACAAAAAUAACAGAAGAAUUUAGAAAUUACAGUGUUCUGUUUUUUAAUGAUAUGCUCUUCCUGUAGAUAAAUGUCCAGUAUAUUUCUGUAUUUCAUUUAUGAUGCAUCAAUAGCACAGUAAUACAUGUAAAUACAUUGGGAUUGACCUAAGCGUGUCAAGCACUUACCAGAGUAGUGCUCCUCUGACUGCAAAAAAGACUGGUAAAAGCUGCAUAUGUUAAAGAGGAUUGUAACAUCAAUGUUACCUUCUUUAGAAUGCUGGAUAACAAAAUGCUGGAUCAGGUGAUCAUGGGCUGUAGUUCUAUUGUGCAGCUUUAUUUCUGCUGUCAAAUUUAAGCUAAAACUAAGGCACAAAAUGUUUUUGUCUCAUAUUAGCUGGGUAUUGGAAGUUGUUCUUUUUUAUAAUUUAAAAGUUUUUUUCAUUAUUUUACCAUAUAAUUUAUAUUUAAUUGUCUAUAUAUGUGAUGUAUAUCUUCAUAUAUAUGUAUAUACAAAUGCACAUCUAUACAAACACAAUCUAUUCAUAUUUUAGGUUUAUCUGUUUGAUUUAUAGGUCAGAAGCAUUAUAUGUCCAGAACUGCUGCUAAGACUAGUAAGAUUAGUACCACCACACGCACAGAAACCACUUGCAUUGUCAAUGCGGUAAUAAGGCGUUACUAGCAGAGAUGCAGAGUGUGCAAAGAGGCCCAUCUGUAUGGAAACAGCUUCGUUACAGACGGCAUUGUUAGCACUAGCUCACUGUUCACCCUCCCAAAUUUGUUCUGGCUAUUGAGAGCCAAGAGAUUGUUCUUUAGGCCUUUGGGCAUGGGGUUUCAGAAGGAGAGGCCCAGUCUCACAUUCAGCACCAUCCCUGUGCUAACAAACCCUGUUUUAGAGCAGAGCAUGGUGGAGAAGCAAUGGCUGAAUGCAGUAAUCUCAUGUCCGGCAAGGUCAAAACUGAGCUGGAGUUACUGCAUUCAUGCAGUGACAAAGUUUUUGUUGGUGUGAUCAGACUAUGUUAACAAAAUUAAAUCCUUUUAGCCUGCAAAGUACAGUUGGUGAAUUAAAACUGCUUGUCACCCAUGCCAACUCCUGGGCAUUGCUUGGAAUAGUGCUAACUGGCUUGUGCAAAUAGUAUACUGGGGUCAUUCUAAAAAUAUUUAGAAGAUCAAGUUGUUCCAAGCACAGACAUUCUUUAAUUUAUCAGUACAGACGUAGCCAAUAAGUCUUGCUGUAUGCAGUUUAACUUCUUACAACCUAGCAUUCCCACUUCUGGGAAAAACACAACAAGGCUGCCAAUUCAGGUUACUUUGGAAGCUAAUUUGGGCUUGAUGGUUUAUAAGUUUGGAUUGCACACACUACAGAAGUGGGUAAGUGUGCUCUUGAAAUCACAUUGACCUUGCAAUCAGUAUGGCUCUGUUUGCUUGGAGUGUGCUUGAGCUAAGAAACUUUGCUGGGUCAUUACAGAGCUAACUCUGAUAAAGUUCUGUUGCCAUGAUAUAAUUAAUGCAAAACUGAUGAAAAGCUGUAGUUUGUCUUUAACUGAAUUUCUCUUGUACGUACUAUAACUUAAAGCACCUCGUUCUGCAGAAGUAUAGGAGCUAACUUUACAAGAGAAAGUCAGCAUCACAGUGAUAACUACUAAGCAUCUUGUUACCUUAUAAAACUCUCAGAUCUGAGUAGGUGAUUGAAUCCCUCCAGAAUGCAUCAGAGGUAGAAAAAAAUGAAUUCAGGUUUUCUACAUUCUUUAUAUAUGCUUUAAAAUCAGUUUCAUGAAAAGUCCUGGUGUGUUUUUGUGAGGCUGAAUGGGUGAAAUUAUGAUCAGGUUUUGCAGGAAAAGACAAUUUUCAAAUCCUGAGCUUUAGGCAUGAACUAGAUCACUAGCAGAUCAGUUGAUUGUCUACAGGGCUCUGUGAGUUUUUGUAACUGGCAUUGCUAUCUAAUUCUUGACUUUGUAUACAAAGAGGCGCUUACAUUCACAGGUCUUCCAAAUGUGACCUCAGGUGAUUGCAAAGACCUACUGUGUACUGCUUGAAUGGACCUGCUAGGUCACUCAGAACAAGUUCUCUGUUUCAGGCAACCUCAUUAAUGUACUUCUCAAACAUCACUUGAAAGCAGAACAGUUGGUUUGAUCCCACUACUGCUGUCAGCAUUUCCAAGAUCUCGCUGCUCUCAUAAUAGCAAGUUUUUCUUCAUUUCCAGAUUAACACUUGUUCUUGCAUAAUUCAUUCCAUUUGCUUUUGAGCCAGCAUUAGUCUAAAUACCCCUUAUCUCAUGACGUUUAACACCCUGAUACAUAGGGAGAGCAGUCCUUUUCAGCCUCUAUUUGGUUAGAAGUGAGCUGUCUCUUCUUCCAUCCUCCCAUAGAAAAGCUCUCCAUUCUCCAUGUAUGUCUUCUUUAUAAGAUUUCUCUGCUGUCUUUCCAGUCAAAUUAAUUUUUCUUGAGAGUGGAUUAUGAAAGCUGUUCAGAAAAUUCUGAAUAUCUUACCCUAUCUCAUCCUUACUAUGAAUAGACAAUGAAAGCUAACUUUCUCAUUUUUUACCAAAAAUCCUUAUUCAAAAAAAAAAAAAAAAGUAAUCCCACUGUUCUUAAUAACAUUUUGUUCCUCUUAAAGAAAGAUUUUAAUUUAAGUCAAUGGAAAAAUUGUCUAAUAUGAGGAUACUUUCCCUUUCCUGGAACUUAGUGAAGUUCCUCCUGAGUAGAAAUAACAUAUGAAAGUGGCAAAAACAUUAAUUAGAGUAUGUGGUCAACAUAAAGCAGUUAUCUCUGACCCAGAACUCAAGAGUAGUAAGUGUCCAAGGUGUCUGACAGUAUCAAGAAGUUGCUAAUACUGUGGGCCUCACAGACAACAGAGUGAGAUACAGCCCUCAGUGUGUUCAUUGCUCACUGUUGUUGCCCAGACAGGUUGCAGUAUCUUGCUAGAUUACCCCAACAGACCAACAGCACUUGGCUGCAGUGCAGCACGAAAUCAUUAUGUGGCAGUGCUGCUGUUGUGACAGGUAGACUUCAAUAUCGUAUUCACGCCGGUGUCUACAUGAGUCAUUUUCUUACAAUGACAGGAUUGUCUCCCUGGAUUUAUCAACAGGUA